GUGUCAGCCGCCGCGGUAAUACGAAGGGUGCAAGCGUUACUCGGAAUUACUGGGCGUAAAGCGUGCGUAGGUGGUGGUUUAAGUCUGUCGUGAAAGCCCUGGGCUCAACCUGGGAAUUGCGAUGGAUACUGGAUCACUAGAGUGUGGUAGAGGGAUGCGGAAUUUCCGGUGUAGCAGUGAAAUGCGUAGAGAUCGGAAGGAACAUCUGUGGCGAAGGCGGCAUCCUGGGCCAACACUGACACUGAGGCACGAAAGCGUGGGGAGCAAACAGGAUUAGAUACCCCCGUAGUCC
rnacentral:rRNA from 1 species